ensembl:lncRNA
CUUUCUUCCACAAUCAAAGAAUCCCCAGUUUUUAACUAGGUCACAUGGUUGCCCAGAAUUAAGGCUGUAUUUCUCAGCACCUCCUGCAAUUAACUAUGGCCACAUGACUAAGUUAUAGCUAAUGGGCUGCAGCAGAAUUGUAGCAUGACAGCUUCUAGAAACCUUUCUUAAAGGACACCUGACACAUGCCCUUUGCUUCCUGUAUUAGUUAGAAUUCUCCAGAGAAACAGAACCAACAGGAUACAUAGACAUCAAAGGCGAUUUAUUAUGAGGAAUUGGCUCCCACGAUUAUGGAGGCGAGGAAGCCCCACAAUCUGCUGUCUGCAGAUCCUGGAGACGCAGGAAAGCCGGUGAUAUAAUUCAGUCUGAGUCCAAAGGCCUGAGGACCAGGGGAGCCAAUAGCAUCAGUCCUAGUCUGAGGCAGAAGAUGAGAGGAGAUGUCCCAGCGAACUCCUCCUUCCUCCAUCUUUUGUUCUAUUCAGGCCCUCAGCAGAAUGGAUGAUGCCCACCCACUUUGGGGAGGUCAAUUUACUUUACUGAGUUCACAGAUUCAAAUGUCAAUCUCAUUCAGAAAUACCCUUACAGACACACCUAGAAAUAAUGUUUAAUCUGGGCAGCCCACGGCCAGUCAAGUCGACACAUAAUCUCAACCAUCAUGCUCCCCUUCAUCUCUGUCACUCUUUCCAUCCCACUGCUUGUAAUGUGGUGAGAGAGCUGGAGCUCUAGCUGCCUUCUUGGACUAUGAGGAUAAGGACCACACCAGUGGGAUGGUAAAGCAGCAAGCCAGAAGGAGUUUGAGUUCCUGGAGACUUAGAGGAAUAGAGAUCCUACAACAUCCCUGGAUUACUUACCUUACAGACCUUUACACAAGACAGAGAAAUAUACCACUGUCUUAAGUCAGCAGUGUUACCAUGGAGGUCUGCCUUUUAGUUAAACCUAAUCCUUAGUGAUACACACCCUUUUCCUUAUGUUUACGUGAGCCUUUGUGGUCCUUAGUCAAUGGGUCUGUAGUCAUUUCAUCUUAGUGGUAAAAGGCCAAAGCUUGGUCCCUAGGAUCACAAACUCAACACGUUGAGAACGGUGUCUUUCUGUCUACAGCAAGGAAUGGAGACGGUCCAAUGAAUGCCAACGACUUCAAUUCUCCAGCUGCUUCAGUUGGUUCCCAAGAUAGUAGCCAUGAGCUCCAUGAGGCAAUGCGACUUCAUCUGUACUCCGCAGAGAGCAUCGCUAAUCCAAAAAAUGCACCUAUCCUUCCCUUAAAGAUGUCAGCUCUCUCCUGAAAACCUUGCUGCUAAGGGAAAAAAAAUUAGGUGAAAAAAUUUUCCACUGAUUUUAAUGGGAAAAAUUAUGAUGCAUUUCCUCCCAAUCCAAGAUACCCUAAACAGUACUCAUAGGUAGAAAAAUAUAUUAACUGAACAAUGAAAAGAAGUUUAUGCAACAAACAGCAAUUAGAAAGUAAAUAAGUUGAGUCUGUAGGUAAAAUGUAAAGAAGUUUACAGCACUUACCGAAGGAGGAAGGAAGGAGGAAGAAAGACUUGGUAGUGGGGGGGCUGGCGGAGAAGGGGUUCUUUGGAAGGCAUGGCCUUCUUUCCGCACCGUUCAACCAUUUCUCAACAUUUAGGGGGUUCACGGUGAUCUUGCAUCCAAACUUCACUACAAAUAAAGUUAUAUCACAGAAAAUACGUUGAGGGCACAAUAAAAGUAAAUACGUGAGUAGUUCAAAAGGUGUAAAACCAGUGCGUGCGCACAGCCCACUGACGAGUCACGGGACAUGCUUCCUCCUCCUUCCUCCUCCUUCCUCCACUGCGCAGUGUGCUUCGGGUUCAUCCCCACGCGGCAGCCACUCCUCUUCCUUCCAUGUGAUGUUCUCCGACUAGAAACUGCUGUGCCGAGUAAUAAGCUGGUGACUGUGUCUUUGCCUGAAACCAUAAAGUCAAAAUAUUACUUCUUGCAGCAUAUGGCAUUGGGUGAAAACAUGGUCAUACUGAAAAAAAAAGAAGCCACUGUCUGAAAAGCGUGGAACCGUUCAAAGCCGUAACGGCAGUAGGUCAUUACCGAACGUCUGUGUGCGGGCUGCGGGUGUAGCUGAGGGGCCGGGGCAGGAAGAGGCAGCACCCAGGCCUCCUUACAGGGUCUCACUGGGUAACAGUGAGCGGAGUCCUUCCGGCCGCGGGGGAGCCCGGACUGCAGACAAGCCUCCGCACACCCCGCCUCCCGGGCAGGGCCCAGGGCCCAAACUCCCUCCUGUGUUCUCCUUCAGCCGGAUUUGAGGGACUCGGGUGUGUCUGGGCUGAAAGUGUUAGAGCUUCCACCAAGCUGCUGCGGAUGUCCCCAGUGGGCGUUCGCUUGUGACUCUUAAAGAAACAGGCCUGAGGCCCGCUCUGACGGCCAGAGUCAGCUUAAGGGCUUGUUUCGUUCCGGGAGGAAUCGAGUCGCGUUGGGCAGUGAACACCCCCUGGGAGAAAGAACAGGACGCUUCACCUGUGCCCGCUGCUGUGUCCCCGGUUCUUCUGAAAUCUCCCGCACGCCGCGUCUGUUCUUAUUCCCCUGGGCCCGCUGGAAGCCCAGCUAGGGGCAGCCAGGGCCAAAGGGCACGGGCUUCGGGGCUGGCCAGAAGGGCACUCGGCUCCCCCACUUCCUCCCCUGACCACAUUCAAGUCGUCCCUCCCCUCCCGCCACCUCCCGCAACCUUCCUCCGCCCUCGCGUCCUCCUCGGAUGGCAUCACGCACGUUCUCUCUUAGCUGACGUCACCAGGCGCGAGCGUUCAUCCGCAUCUCAUCGGGAAGACUUUCCAGGGCUGGACUUGAACCCUGGAGCGCUCCCGGCACGUGUCUGUCCCUCCAGCGGUUCGGGGACUCUAGGAGACUCUUUCUCUGGCUCUCGCGCUGGCUCCCUGCCGCUGGCGCUCUCCCGGCCGUCGUCACCGUCCCGUCGUCACCGUCCCGGGAGGAGGGCCGGCCCGCAGUCGGCCUGUGGACUGCGGCGUGAGCGCCCGCGAGCUACGAGUCCUCCAACGGGCCCCGUGCUGCCAAGGCUAGUGAAGCCUGAGCGUCCGCUGCUCAGGGACAGAGAGGAGUCAGCUCGACCCGGAGGCCAGAGAGACCCCGGCUCCUCCGGGCCGUGACCUGGGGCCCCCGCCCUGCCCUGCGGCCCGCGGACUGCCCAACCUGACCAAUUUCUCUCGGUGUUUGGCGAGGGCCUUAGGGAGCCCAGACCCAGAACGCGAGCCUGGUUGAGAACGUGGAGAGACGCAGGUCGCUGGAACUCGCUGUCGUGGGAAACAGCGGCCACUCGCCGCCGAGGCAGAGGGCUCGCGGGCAGCAGCGGCGGCCGCAGGAGGCAGCCCGGAGGAGCCGGCGCCCGUUCUCCUCCCGCUCGGCUCUCCCCCAGCGCCCCCGCGGGCACCACCGGCGGGCAGCCGGCCGGCCGAGAGAGACGCGCUCGGCGUCCCAGCCCAGCGUCGCCGAGCGAGCGCAGGACGGCUCCGAAGCUGAGACAGUAGCCUAGGGAUCCGCACGUGGACCCUCACAUAUUAAAUGACGUAUGUAUUUGGGCCUGUUUCUAGACUCUGUUCCAAUGACCUAUUUCUCCACCAACACUAACUUCAUUUUAUUACUGUACUUUUGUACAUUUUGGCAUCUGGUAGGACUAGUUCCUCCUUGGUUUUCCCCCCAAAAUUCCUGGCUAUUCUGACACGUGUUUCUAUAUUAUUAUAUUAUAUGUAAUAUAUAGCUAUAUUUCUAUGUGAAUUAGAAUUAACUUCUCAGUGACUGGAAUCUCAUUGAAUUUCUAUGUUAAUUUAGGGGACUUGAGAAGUUUACACUAAUGAGAUUUCUUAUCCAACUUUUAUCUUUCAAUUUAUCCAAAUAUGUCUUUGAGUUCUCUCAAUAGAGUAUUAUGCUUUUAUUCACGUAAGUAUUGUGGAUUCUUAACUUUAUUCUUAGGUAUUUCCCCUCCAAUUCAUUGCUAAUAUAUAAAUUCUAUUUUCCCUCAUUAUAUUUUCUCCUGGUUACUAUUUGUAUGAAAAACUUGAUUUUUGCAUGUUAAUUUCAUAACCAGCUUCUUUGUUGAAUUCUACUUUUUUUUUUUUUUUUUUUGAGGAAGAUUAGCCCUGAGCUAACUCUGCCAAUCCUCCUCUUUUUGCUGAGGAAGACUGGCCCUGAGCUAACAUCCAUGCCCAUCUUCCUCUACUUUAUAUGUGGGACGCCUACCACAGCACGGCUUUUGCCAAGCGGUGCCAUGUCCACACCCGAGAUCCAAACCGCGAACUCUGGGCCUCCGAGAAGUGGAAACUGCGCACUUAACCGCUGCACCACCGGGCCGGCCCCCAAGUUCUAUUUUUUCUUUAAUUGCUUUUCAAUUGAUUUUCCUGUUUUGUCCAGGUAUAAAAUUAACGGUAUAUGUUAUCAGUAAUAAUAAAUUAUUCCCUCCUGUCUUCUAUUUUCACUAUUUUCUUUCUGUUCUCUGAUUCAAUGGCUGCUAUUGUAAUGGGUUGAUCUCACUCUUCAUUCGCCCGGUGCAGACGUUUUUGUUAGAGACAUAGAUUUAAUUUUCUUAAAGAAUAACACACGCUUUCCUAUUGUAUUAGAAGUUUUGUAAAGUCCAUAAAUUGAUUUUUAACUUUUCAAAUAACUUUGAGGAAUCUAUUGAAAUGAUCACGUUUUUCCUCCCUUGACCUAUGAAUGUGGUGAAUUAUUCCAGUAAAUAUUCUUAAAUUGUUUCACUUUUACAUUUUUGAAAUAAAUCCACCUGGGUAUGG